AGGCUGCAACUCGCCUACAUGAAGUCGGAAUUGCUAGUAAUCGCGGAUCAGCAUGCCGCGGUGAAUACGUUCCCGGGCCUUGUACACACCGCCCGUCACACCAUGGAGUCGGUAACACCCGAAGCCUGUAGUCUAACCGCAAGGAGGACGCAGUCGAAGGUGGGAUUGAUGACUGGGUGAAGUCGUAACAAGGUAAC
rnacentral:rRNA from 1 species